UCGUCCAAGGAGCGUUGCAGCGGCAUGUGCCGUCAGGCUUGGACCGUGCCCCCGAACCGCAACGACGCUCACCUGUU
rnacentral:ncRNA from 2 species